GCAGCUCUGUGUGUGCGUUGCUUUUCCUUUGCCGCGGCCUGCUGCGAUCCACGCCGUUUCUCCGCCAUCCCCACUUACUAUACCGCCACCAGCCUCGGAAGCCCCUGGGCUCCUGAGGCUGCAGGAUGCUGAGGUCGGCACAAGGAGCCUGGCCUUCCCGGGCCGAGAUCCAGAAGGCCCCGGCCGCGUGCGCGGUGAGCAGAGCCGCGCCCGCGGGGGCUGCGCUCUGCUCCCACCUCGGCCCGCCGCAGCCACCCUUCUGGCCGAAUGUUCUGGUAGAUGAAUUUCAGAAGGCAAUAAAGAGGCACAGAACUUAGCUGUGCUCAAUGAAGAUUGCAGGAUAACUGGUCUUUUGGGCGACUGACUCCCAGGAUCAUGACCAGGUGUUAAAAGGCAAGAUCCUCAGGACCUGGUUGGCCCUGAGUUUUCUCAUUGUGUUAGCAAGUCUGAAGAUAACCAGCUGGUUGCUGGAGCAGGUGAAUUGAGAUUUGUGAUACCAAGAAAAAUAUCCUCAUCUCUGUGGAUUUAAAGUUGGGAGAAGCACUAUGGGAAGAGACAGACCAAAGGACACCUAGCUGGUUUUUAGGAAGUGGUGACCAUGGCAAGCGUUUUGCUUAGUGUUCCAUCACUGAUGUCUGGCAUGUUGAUGACCAUUGAAAGACGACUGUAUGAAAGUGCCACUUUUCUUGGUGUUGCUUAUUGCACAUUUGAAUACCCCAUCUGUGGUCUCAAACCCGUCAUAAAAAAGGAUGAUGUCCAAGAAAUUUGAUCAGUCUUUUAACUAUGUAUAUAUAGUUCGCCAUGAGGCCUGAGGCACUCUGUUUUGAGGCCUUGCUUGCUCCUUAAAAGGCUUUACAUGGCCUAGGCAGUGAACCCUACCAAUUAACAGCCCAACCCCCAUCUCCAAACCUAGAGAGAAGGUGCAGAUGUUUAGCAUCCAGGUUGGACCUGGUAGUUUAGAGAUGACAAUAUAAAUUGGAAAAGAUAAAUUUCCUGAUCAAUCAAGUCAGGAAGGGGGAUAUGCAUUAGAAGUAAAGAUUUAGGAAGUGACUCUUCUACCUUUCCCGUAUGAAAAGUGAAAUUUAAUGAAUUUAUUGGCAUGGGGGAGCUUGGUGUAUGGCACUGUUCUGUUCCUUGACUAUCCAGGUCUGCAUAUUUUGCUCCCUGGGGAACCUCUAAUCCUAGAGAAUUUAGGAUUUAAAGUAAUUACUGAAUCCUAGUAUAGAUAUUUCUUUUUACUUUCUGGUGUAUUACAGUGGCCAGAGGGAAAUAUCUCAAAUUUCUGAAUUGUAAUCCAGCUGCCUUGAUCUCUGAUAACGACUGUAUAACUAUAUAGCCUUUGUUUUGUGAUGGUAAAAACCUUGUGACAUGAUGUGCAUGAUGAGCCCAAGUCAGCAGUUCUGAAAACCUAAAGAAUACCCAGAUCCCUAUCUGAGACUACAAAAGUUUCACUAAGUUUAUUCUGCAGGAACUUGAAUCCUCUAGAGAGUUCCUAUGCCAGCUAAGUCCAAAACCCAGAGGCCACAGCCUCUUGAAGAACAGUUGUGUCCCCUUUUCCCCUAAUGUCGACACCCCUUUUCAACAUGAACAAGUUAUGGUGGUCACUUCCUGAAUAUCGGGAGAGUGAUUAAACUGGAGGGAGGGGUAGCAACAGACAAGAUGAAAUUUAACAAAGGAUUAUGAAUAUUGAAUCUAUAAUUUUCUUAGUUGCCAGGGUAUUUCAAUAGCUAGAAGCAAAGAACUGAAAUGGUGGAACUGUAACCCAAACCCAUAACAUUCUUUGAAAUUUGCUAUAUAGCUGCUUGUUAAAAGUUACCACCUUUUUGUCUAUGUUAUACUUAACAAGGAAAUUAUUGAAACUGGUACUGUAACCCGUAACAUUCUUGGAGAUUUACUCCUUAACUACUUGUUAAAUUGCACUUGAAAAGGUAUCACUUCUAUAUAAAUAUGUUAAAUUCCACAAAACAGUAAAAUCCCUUGUGACCGAUCCUCAUUUGUACCACUUGAUCCUGUUUUCAACUUACGAUCAAUUAAUGUUUAUUAAUGAAAGGCUUCGAGUCAGUACAGAACUACUCACCCUAAUUGCAAAUAAAGCUGGAUCUAACCAAAA